GACGAACGCUGGCGGCGUGCUUAACACAUGCAAGUCGAACGGUGAAGGGACUGGUUUUGCUGGUCCUGGAUGAGUGGCGAACGGGUGAGUAACACGUGAGUAACCUGCCCCCUUCUUCUGGAUAACCGCAUGAAAGUGUGGCUAAUACGGGAUAUUCUGGGUCUGUCGCAUGGUGGGCCUGGGAAAGAUUGCGCCUUUUUUGGUGUUUUUGGUGGGGGAUGGGCUCGCGGCCUAUCAGCUUGUUGGUGGGGUGAUGGCCUACCAAGGCGGUGACGGGUAGCCGGCCUGAGAGGGGGGACGGUCACACUGGGACUGAGACACGGCCCAGACUCCUACGGGAGGCAGCAGUGGGGAAUAUUGCACAAUGGGCGCAAGCCUGAUGCAGCGACGCCGCGUGAGGGAUGGAGGCCUUCGGGUUGUGAACCUCUUUCGCCAGUGAAGCAGGCCUGCCUCUUUUUGUGGGUGGGUUGACGGUAGCUGGAUAAGAAGCGCCGGCUAACUACGUG
rnacentral:rRNA from 1 species